rnacentral:rRNA from 1 species
AUGGUCAGAUUAGCCCCUUUCAAAUUUCAUAUAUUAAUAAAUGGAGCACUAGCAGCCAACCUUGGAGAUGGGCGUGCAAGUGUCUCACCUCCAACCCUGAAUGUGUUCUUUCCCAUAUUUCUACAGCCAAUAGUACCAAACUGCCAUUACAAACAUGUCAUGCCACUAGCUAGGCGGCAACUCAGUCUUAGUUUCCAAGCAAAAACAAAUAAGCAAACUUAUGUGAAUAUACUACACUUGAUGUUGAUCAUCUGGUGCAUUAGUAUGCAGUUCUCAUUGUUAGUUCUUGUUUUCUUGAUUCAUUUGUACUAUAUGAUUCAGGUUUUAUACUUUGCCAGUAGGUAG